rfam:Monodelphis domestica chromosome 4, whole genome shotgun sequence.
GGUUUUGCACAGUGGCGGUAUCGUAGCCAAUGAGGUUUAUCCUAGGCGCAAUUAUUGCUAAUUGAAACUCUAAUUAAUAGUGAUUUGGAACAUUUUUUCAUAGGACUAAACAUAGUUUUAAUUUCUUCAUCUGAGAA